rnacentral:rRNA from 1 species
UAGGGAAUCUUCGGCAAUGGGGGCAACCCUGACCGAGCAACGCCGCGUGAGUGAAGAAGGUUUUCGGAUCGUAAAGCUCUGUUGUAAGUCAAGAACGAGUGUGAGAGUGGAAAGUUCACACUGUGACGGUAGCUUACCAGAAAGGGACGGCUAACUACGUGCCAGCAGCCGCGGUAAUACGUAGGUCCCGAGCGUUGUCCGGAUUUAUUGGGCGUAAAGCGAGCGCAGGCGGUUUGAUAAGUCUGAAGUUAAAGGCUGUGGCUCAACCAUAGUUCGCUUUGGAAACUGUCAAACUUGAGUGCAGAAGGGGAGAGUGGAAUUCCAUGUGUAGCGGUGAAAUGCGUAGAUAUAUGGAGGAACACCGGUGGCGAAAGCGGCUCUCUGGUCUGUAACUGACGCUGAGGCUCGAAAGCGUGGGGAGCGAACAGGAUUAGAUACCCUGGUAGUCCACGCCGUAACGAUGAGUGCUAGGUGUUGGAUCCUUUCCGGGAUUCAGUGCCGCAGCUAACGCAUUAAGCACUCCGCCUGNNAGUACGACCGCAAGGUU